GAUGAACGCUAGCGGCAGGCUUAAUACAUGCAAGUCGAGGGGCAGCAUGAUUGUAGCAAUACAAUUGAUGGCGACCGGCAAACGGGUGCGGAACACGUACGCAACCUCCCAAUAAGUGGGGAAUAGCCCAGAGAAAUUUGGAUUAAUACCCCGUAACAUAACGAUGUGGCAUCACAUUGUUAUUAUAGAUUUUUCGCUUAUUGAUGGGUGUGCGGCUGAUUAGAUAGUUGGCGGGGUAACGGCCCACCAAGUCUACGAUCAGUAGCUGAUGUGAGAGCAUGAUCAGCCACACGGGCGCUGAGACACGGGCCCGACUCCUACGGGAGGCAGCAGUAAGGAAUAUUGGACAAUGGACGCAAGUCUGAUCCAGCCAUGCCGCGUGAAGGAUUAAGGUCCUCUGGAUUGUAAACUUCUUUUAUAAGGGACGAAAAAAGGCUUUUCUAAGUCGUCUGACGGUACCUUAUGAAUAAGCACCGGCUAACUCCGUGCCAGCCGCCGCCGUAACAC
rnacentral:rRNA from 1 species